rnacentral:rRNA from 1 species
CGUAAGGUCCGAGCGUUGUCCGGAAUCAUUGGGGCGUAAAAGGGUACGUAGGCGGAUAAGCAAGUUAGAAGUGAAAUCCUAUAGCUCAACUAUAGUAAGCUUUUAAAAACUGCUCAUCUUGAGGUAUGGAAGGGAAAGUGGAAUUCCUAGUGUAGCGGUGAAAUGCGCAGAUAUUAGGAGGAAUACCCGGUGGCGAAGGCGACUUUUCUGGCCAUAAACUGACGCUGAGGUACGAAAGCGUGGGGUAGCAAACAGGAUU